rnacentral:rRNA from 1 species
GUAACACGUAUACAAUCUGCCCGUAACUGGGGCAUAGCCCGGAGAAAUCCGGAUUAAUACCCCAUAUUAUAAGGACAUGGCAUCAUGACUUUAUCAAAGCUCCGGCGGUUACGGAUGAGUAUGCGCAACAUUAGCUAGUUGGUGAGGUAAAGGCUCACCAAGGCGACGAUGUUUAGGGGGUCUGAGAGGAUGAACCCCCACACUGGUACUGAGACACGGACCAGACUCCUACGGGAGGCAGCAGUAGGGAAUAUUGGUCAAUGGACGCAAGUCUGAACCAGCCAUGCCGCGUGCAGGAAGAAGGUCCUAUGGAUUGUAAACUGCUUUUCUACGGGAAGAAACCCCUGGAUGCGUCCGGGGCUGACGGUACCGUAGGAAUAAGGAUCGGCUAACUCCGUGCCAGCAGCCGCGGUAAGACGGAGGAUCCAAGCGUUGUCCGGAUUUACUGGGUUUAACGGGUGCGUAGGCGGAUAACUAAGUCAGUGGUGAAAGCCUGUAGCUUAACUACAGAAGUGCCACUGAAACUGGUUGUCUUGAGUACGGUUGAGGUUGUUGGAAUGCAUCAUGUAGCGGUGAAAUGCUUAGAUAUGAUACAGAACACCAAUUGCGAAGGCAGACAACUAAGCCGUAACUGACGCUGAGGCA